GACGAACGCUGGCGGCGUGCCUAACACAUGCAAGUCGAGCGAGAAUCUUAUGAAUGAUCCUUCGGGUGAAUGAUUAAGAGGAGAGCGGCGGACGGGUGAGUAACGCGUGAGUAAUCUACCUUAAGGAGGGGGAUAACACAGAGAAAUCUGUGCUAAUACCGCAUAACAUAUCUUUACCGCAUGAUAGAGAUAUCAAAACUGAGGUGCCUUAAGAUGAGCUCGCGUCCGAUUAACUAGUUGGUGGGGUAAUGGCCCACCAAGGUUACGAUCGGUAGCCGGACUGAGAGGUUGAACGGCCACAUUGGAACUGAGAUACGGUCCAGACUCCUACGGGAGGCAGCAGUGGGGGAUAUUGCGCAAUGGGGGAAACCCUGACGCAGCAACGCCGCGUGAAGGAAGAAGGUCUUCGGAUUGUAAACUUUUGUCUUUUGGGAAGAUAAUGACGGUACCAAAGGAGGAAGCCACGGCUAACUACGUGCCAGCCGCCGCGGUAACAC
rnacentral:rRNA from 1 species